UUAAGCCUGGUAAGAUAUAUAGCUAGGUUGAGCAUGUAGGGUUUAUGAGUGUGGUAGGGACGAUACUACCAUUAUAAUUGCACAUACCUGGGCCUAGAGAUGCAACGACCGAGGAAAAUCUGGGUGUAGGUUUAUCCUAAAAAGGAAGAAAAGCUGGUGUGGGUUUAUCCUAAACGGGAUUUUCUUCUUUAGAGCAGGUAUCUUAGUAAAUUAAAAUAGUCAUGAGGUACAGAGGGCACACCAACAAAGGGUUAAUAACGAUAUCCAUAGAGCACGAAAAUAGCCUAGUUCAGAUCAUAAAUAAGGAAAUGUAUGAUUGGGGGUUGCCAAACACUUGGUUUGCAAACAUGCGACAAACAUAGUAACAGGCUAUUCUGGGCACUUGGCCAAUUGUGUGAAAACAACAAUGGCAAAGCAGUUUUCACUUGUCUUUGUGCAUAGGGCUUUAGUUGUUAGAUCCAAAUCAGCAAAGUGCAGCCUCCAUGGCGUUAGCAUGUGCAAUCGCAAGAGCAUCAUCAUCAACAUUAGUGGACGCAGAUCCCUGUGACAUGGGCAACUUAAUUAUUAGAAAUUCCGAAAGAAGAAACCAUGGAAAAGAAAGAAGAAUCUAAAUUUAGUAGAAAUACUAAUAGCAGAUGAAAGAUAGGAUUUAGCAAAGUUAGCGUUAUGACCUGCCCAUAAUAUUUUUUCUGCCAAACAAGGAUAUGUGCAUGGGGCAGACUCCUCUUCUGGAAGUCCACGGAGUGGAGGACUGGAAAACAAGAGGGCAAGUGAAGAACAGGGAAAUUAAGAUGCAUGGAGAAGAAAAAGUUAAGGAAACCAAGGGAAGACACUGGCUACAUUACCAGUAACUACAUGCCCAAACACCUGUCUAGUCUUAAUUUUUUCCACGUACUCAAGGAGUUUCAGUUGAUACACUUGAGCAGUAAAAUCAGCUUCAUCGACUGCCUGUUGUCACUGCUCAAGACCCUGAACUAUCGCAGGCCAGUUUGGAUCAUACGUGAAGUCUGUGAAUAUAUUAGGUGAGCCAUGGACACGUGAAACAGCAACAGCAUUGUGGAAGUUUUCAGUCAUGCAGCGAAGUUUGCCCGCAUAAGAUAUUGGCAUUAUAUUUUUCUUGUUGACCUCAGACUCGGUAGCUCUAUCAAAUCCAUUAGCAUCAGCAACAUACUGGUGAUUUUCAGUGUUCAUGUUGUCCUGAAGAUUUUUACAGCAUGUUAGUUGAGAAGUGAGAAUAUCAUGCAGUGGUGUAAUGGUGUUUCAUCGAAGGCAGGAAAGCACAUACACGAGGUAAAUAGCAAGCAGAGACGAUAGGAUAGCAAGCAAUCUAUGGUUAAUAUAAGUAGAUGAAUCUUCUAUAUUUAUAGAUGGAUGAAGCAAAAUGUGCGGUGCUUGGUGAGUAAUAGACGAUUCAGUAGUUGGUAUAUGUAAUUUUAUGAGCAUGAACAAGCCAGGAAAAUAAAGAAUUUGCUGCAGUAUAAGAAAACCAUGAACUCGAGCGGAGUGCUUGAAGGAAAUAUGCCCUAGAGGCAAUAAUAAAGUUAUUAUUUAUUUCCUUAUUUCAUGAUAAAUGUUUAUUAUUCAUGCUAGAAUUGUAUUAAACGGAAACAUAAUACAUGUGUGAAUACAUAGACAAACAGAGUGUCACUAGUAUGCCUCUACUUGACUAGCUCGUUGAUCAAAGAUGGUUAAGUUUCCUAACCAUAGACAUGAGUUGUCAUUUGAUUAAAGGGAUCACAUCAUUAGGAGAAUGAUGUGAUUGACUUGACCCAUUCCGUUAGCUUAGCACUUGAUCGUUUAGUUUGUUGUUAUUGCUUUCUUCAUGACUUAUACAUGUUCCUAUGACUAUGAGAUUAUGCAACUCCCGUUUACCGGACGAACACUUUGUGUGCUACCAAACGUCACAGCGUAACUGGGUGAUUAUAAAGGUGCUCUACAGGUGUCUCCAAAGGUACUUGUUGGGUUGGCGUAUUUCGAGAUUAGGAUUUGUCACUCCGAUUGUCGGAGAGGUAUCUCUGGGCCCACUCGGUAAUGCACAUCACUAUAAGCCUUGCAAGCAUUGCAACUAAUGAGUUAGUUGCGGGAUGAUGCGUUAUGGAACGAGUAAAGAGACUUGCCGGUAAUGAGAUUGAACUAGGUAUUGAGAUACCAACGAUCGAAUCUCGGGCAAGUGACAUACCGAUGACAAAGGGAACAAUGUAUGUUGCUAUGCGGUCUGACCGAUAAAGAUCUUCGUAGCAUAUGUAGGAGCCAAUAUGGGCAUCCAGGUCCCGCUAUUGGUUAUUGAUCAGAGAGGUGUCUCGGUCAUGUCUACAUAGUUCUCGAACCCGUAGGGUCCGCACGCUUAACGUUCGUUGAUGAUAUAGUACUAUAUGAGUUAUGUAUGUUGAUGACCGAAUGUUGUUCGGAGUCCGGGAUGAGAUCACGGACAUGACGAGGAACUCCGGAAUGGUCCGGAGAUAAAGUUUGAUAUAUAGGAUAAUAGUGUUUGGUCACCGGAAGGGUUUCGGAAUUCACCGGAAGGGGUUCCGGAUGUUUCCCGAAAUGUUUGGGUACGAGAACACUUUAUCUGGGCCAAAGGGGAAAGCCCACAAGGUUUUUGGAAAGCGCAAAAGGAAGUUUUGCGGAGUCCAGGGGCCAGACGCCAGGGUCCCUCGCGUCUGGGGCCAGACGCCGGGAACCCUGGCAUCUGGCCGUGGAGUCCGAGAAGGACUCUUGCCUUUCGGGUGAAACCGACUUUGUGGAGGCUUUUACUCCAAGUUUCGACCCCAAGGCUCAACAUAUAAGUAGAGGGGUAGGGCUAGCACCCAAGACACAUCAAGAAACACCAAGCCGUGUGCCGGCAACCCCGUCCCCUCUAGUUUAUCAUCCGUCCUAGUUUUUGUAGUGCUUAGGCGAAGCCCUGCGGAGAUUGUUCUUCACCAACACCGUCACCACGCCGUCGUGCUGUCGGAACUCAUCUACUACUUCGCCCCUCUUGCUGGAUCGAGAAGGCAAGGACGUCAACGAGCCAAAUGUGUGCAGAACUCGGAGGUGCCGUGCUUACGGUACUUGGAUCGGUCGGAUCGUGAAGACGUACGACUACAUCAACCGCGUUGAUAUAACGCUUCCACGAACGGUCUACGAGGGUACGUAGAGAACACUCUCCCCUCUCGUUGCUAUGCAUCACCAUGAUCUUGUGUGUGCGUAGGAAAUUUUUGAAAUUACUACGUUCCCCGACGAUGGUAUCAAAGCCAGGUUUUAUGCGUAGAUGUCAUAUGCACGAGUAGAACACAAGUGAGUUGUGGGAGAUAUAAGUCAUACUGCUUACCAGCAUGUCAUACUUUGGUUCUGCGGUAUUGUUGGAUGAAGCGGCCCGGAUCGACAUUAUGCGUACGCUUACGCGAGACUGGUUCUACCGACGUGCUUUGCACACAGGUGGAUGGCGGGUGUCAGUUUCUCCAACUUUAGUUGAACCGAGUGUGGCUACGCCUGGUCCUUGCGAAGGUUAAAACAGCACCAACUUGACAAACUAUCGUUGUGGUUUUGAUGCGUAGGUAAGAACGGUUCUUGCUAAGCUCGUAGCAGCCACAUAAAAUUUGCAACAACAAAGUAGAGGACGUCUAACUUGUUUUUGCAGGGCAUGUUGUGAUGUGAUAUGGUCAAGACAUGAUGCUAAAUUUUAUUGUAUGAGAUGAUCAUGUUUUGUAACCAAGUUAUCGGCAACUGGCAGGAGCCAUAUGGUUGUCGCUUUAUUGUAUGCAAUGCAAUCGCCCUGUAAUGCUUUACUUUAUCACUAAGCGGUAGCGAUAGUCGUGGAAGCAUAAGAUUGGCGAGACGACAACGAUGCUAUGAUGGAGAUCAAGGUGUCGCGCCGAUGAUGAUGGUGAUCAUGAAGGUGCUUCAAAGAUGGAGGUCACAAGCACAAGAUGAUGAUGGCCAUAUCAUAUCACUAGUAUUGAUUACAUGUGAUGUUUAUCUUUUAUGCAUCUUAUCUUGCUUUGAUUGAUGGUAGCAUUAUAAGAUGAUCCCUCACUAAAUUAUCAAAGUAUAAGACUUCUCCCUGAGUAUGCACCGUUGCGAAAGUUCUUCGUGCUGAGACACCACGUGAUGAUCGGGUGUGAUAGGCUCUACAUUCAAAUACAACGGGUGCAAAACAGUUGCACAUGCGGAAUACUUAGGUUAAACUUGACGAGCCUAGCAUAUAACAGAUAUGGCCUCGGAACACGGAGACCGAAAGGUCGAGCGUGAAUCAUAUAGUAGAUAUGAUCAACAUAGUGAUGUUCACCGUUGAUACUACUCCAUCUCACGUGAUGAUUGGACAUGGUUUAGUUGAUAUGGAUCACGUGAUCACUUAGAGGAUUAGAGGGAUGUCUAUAUAAGUGGGAGUUCUUAAAUAAUAUGAUUAAAUUGAACUUAAAUUUAUCAUGAACUUAGUACCUGAUAGUAUCUUGCGUGUCUAUGUUGAUUGUAGAUAGAUGGCCCGUGUUGUUGUUCCGUUGAAUUUUAAUGUGUUCCUUGAGAAAGCAAAGUUGAAAGAUGAUGGUAGCAAUUACACGGACUGGGUCCAUAACUUGAGGAUUAUCCUCAUUCCUGCACAGAAGAAUUACGUCCUGGAAGCACCGCUAAGUGCCAAGUGCUACCUCUUGAGCUUGCGUUGGAUUUCCCCGAAGAGGAAGGGAUGAUGCAGCAGAGUAGCGUAAGUAUUUCCCUCAGUUUUUGAGAACCAAGGUAUCAAUCUAGUAGGAGGCCACGCUCAAGUCCUUCGUACCUGCACAAAACGAGAGCUACUCGCAACCAACGCGAUUAGGGGUUGUCAAUCCCUUCACGGUCACCUACGAGAGUGAGAUCUGAUAGAUAUAAUAUUUUUGGUAUUUUUGGUAUAGAGAUGCAAAGUGAAAAGUAAAAGGCAAAGUAAAAAGCAAAGCAAGAUUAAAGUGAUGGAGAUUGAUAUGAUGAGAAUAGACCCGGGGGCCAUAGGUUUCACUAGUGGCUUCUCUCAAGAGCAUAAGUAUUCUACGGUGGGUGAACAAAUUACUGUUGAGCAAUUGACAGAAUUGAGCAUAGUUAUGAGAAUAUCUAGGCAUGAUCGUGUAUAUAGGCAUCAUGUCCAUGACAAGUAGACCGAAACGAUUCUCCAUCUACUACUAUUACUCCACUGAUCGACCGCUAUCUAGCAUGCAUCUAGAGUAUUAAGUUAAAAACAGAGUAACGCCUUAAGCAAGAUGACAUGAUGUAGAGAGAUAAAUUCAUGCAAUAUGAAAUAAACCCCAUCUUGUUAUCCUCCAUGGCAACGAUACAAUACGUGCCUUGCUGCCCCUUUUGUCACUGGGAAAGGACACCGCAAGAUCGAACCCAAAGCUAAGCACUUCUCCCAUGGCAAGUGAGGGAGUCCUGGAUUAGGGGGUGUCCGGAUGGCCGGACUAUACCUUCAGCCGGACUCCUGGACUAUGAAGAUACAAGAUUGAAGACUUCGUCCUGUGUCCGGAAGGGACUUUCCUUGGCGUGGAAGGCAAGCUUGGCGAUACGGGUAUAUAGAUCUCCUACCAUUGUAAUCGACUUUGUGUAACCCUAACCCUCUCCGGUGUCUAUAUAAACCGGAGGGUUUUAGUCCGUAGGACAACAUACAGAACAACAAUCAUACCAUAGGCUAGCUUCUAGGGUUUAGCCUCUCCGAUCUCGUGGUAGAUCUACUCUUAUACUACCCAUAUCAUCAAUAUUAAUCAAGCAGGACGUAGGGUUUUACCUCCAUCAAGAGGGCCCGAACCUGGGUAAAACUUCGUGUCCCUUGCCUCCUGUUACCAUCCGGCCUAGACGCACAGUUCGGGACCCCCUACCCGAGAUCCGCCGGUUUUGACAUCGACAUUGGUGCUUUCAUUGAGAGUUCCUCUGUGUCGUCGCCGUCAGGCUUGAUGGCUCCUAUGAUCAUCAAUGGCGAUGCAGUCCAGGGUGAGACCUUCCUCCCCAGAUAGAUCUUCGUCUUCGGUGGCUUCGCACUACGGGCCAAUUCACUUGGCCAUCUGGAGCAGAUCGAAAGCUACGCCCCUGGCCAUCAGGUCCGAUUUGGAAGUUUAAACUACACGGCUGACAUUCGCGGGGACUUGAUCUUCGACGGAUUCAAGCCACUGCCGCGCGCGCCGCACUGUCACGACAAGCAUGAUCUACCUCUGCCACCGGACAGUGCCCUGGAGGCCGCACCCGCAUCGGCUUCGACCCUUAAUUCGGAGCCAACUGCGCCGAUCGAGGAUGGGCGGUUGGACACCGCCUCGGGGGCUGCGAUCCCAACGGCGAUCGAGCCGAACACCAGCCCCGCACCCCGCGAGACUCGUGACUCCAAGGAGCCGGACUCCUCUCUGGACUCCGAACCCUCCGCGCCCCUGCCGAUCGAAUCCGAUUGGGCGCCGAUCAUGGAGUUUACUGCCGUAGACAUCUUUCAGCACUCGCCUUUCGGCGAUAUUUUGAAGACACUGAAGUCUCUCUCUUUAUCAGGAGAGCCUUGGCCGGACUACGGUCAGCAAGGUUGGGAUACGAAUGAUGAAGAAAUUCAAAGCCCACCCACCACCCACUUUGUAGCCACUGUCGACGAUUUAACCGACAUGCUCGACUUCGACUCAGAAGACAUCGACGGUAUGGACACCGAUGCAAGAGACGAUGAAGAACCAGCGCCUAUUAGGCCCUGGAAAGCCACCUCGUCAUAUGACAUAUACAUGGUGGACACCCCAAAAGAAGGAGAUGGUGAUGGAACAGCGGAGGAUGACCCCUCCAAGAAACAGCCUAAGCGCUGGCGUCAGCGGCGCCGCUCAAAAUCCCGCCAAAACAAAUACGGUGAUUCCAGCACGGGAGAUAAUAAUACUCCAAAGAAUGCCAAAGAAAAUCCCCUCCAGCAAGAUUCAGCACAGGAGGAUGAAGAAGCCAGCCCUCAUGAGAGAGCAGCAGACAGAGAGGUCGAGGACGAUAAUUAUGCGCCUCCCUCCGAAGAUGAGGCAAGCCUCGACGACGACGAAUUCGUAGUGCCAGAGGAUCCCGCCGAACAAGAGCGUUUUCAAUGCAGGCUUAUGGCCACGGCAAGAAGCCUCAAGAAAAAACAGCAACAGCUUAGAGCUGAUCAAGAUUUGCUAGUCGACAGAUGUACUGAAGUCCUUGCAGCCGAAGAGCGUAAACUCGAACGCCCCUCCAAGAGCUACCCAAAGCGCAGGUUGCUACCCCGAUUAGUGGGGGAAGCACUUAAACCUACAUCACCAGCACUUGAUACGGCUGACCGGCCACCUCGUGGCCGCGACAGAGAGGCCUCUCGGCCCUCCACUCAAGUCGCACCCCGUACCAAGGCAUGGGAAAAUGCGUCAGACCUGCGAGAUAUGUUGGAGGACAAGGAAAGGCAAACAAGAUCGAUCUACGGAUCGCGUGGGCGCCCCAUGACUCGAGACGGUAACCGUCACGCCGGACACAAAUCCGGUAGGGCCGAACAGAGUAGACAAAGCUCAUUGGAGCUACGUCGUGAUAUAGCCCAGUAUAGAGGCGCCGCACACCCACUAUGCUUCACAAACGAAGUAAUGGAUCAUCAAAUCCCCGAGGGUUUCAAACCCGUAAACAUCGAAUCAUAUGAUGGCACAACAGAUCCUGCGGUAUGGAUCGAGGAUUAUCUCCUUCAUAUCCACAUGGCCCGCGGCGAUGAUCUCCACGCCAUCAAAUACCUCCCACUCAAACUUAAAGGACCAGCUCAGCAUUGGCUUAACAGCUUGCCAGCAGGAUCAAUCGGUUGUUGGGAGGACCUGGAAGCCGCAUUCCUUGACAAUUCCAGGGCACUUAUGUGCGACCACCAGAUGCCAAUGACCUAAGCCACGUAAUUCAGCAGCCAGAGGAAUCGGCCAGGCAAUUCUGGACAUGGUUCCUAACAAAGAAAAAUCAAAUAGUCAACUGUCCGGACGCUGAGGCCCUAGCAGCCUUCAAACACAAUAUCCGUGGCGAGUGGCUUGCCCGGCACCUUGGACAGGAAAAGCCGAAAUCUAUGGCAGCACUCACGACACUCAUGACCCGCUUUUGCACGGGAGAAGACAGCUGGCUUGCUUGUAGCAACAAUAUGACCAAGAACCCUAGUAAUUCGGAUAUCAGGGACAGUAGUGGCAGGUCGCGUCACAACAAGCAGAAGCGCCGCACUAACGGCGACAAUGCUGAGGAUACGGCAGUUAAUGCCAGAUUCAGAGGCUAUAAAUCCGGUCAGCGGAAAAAGCCAUUCAAAAGAAAUCCUAGGCGCCCGUCCAGUCUGGACCGAAUACUCGAUCGCUUAUGCUAGAUACAUGGCACCCCCGAAAAGCCGGCAAAUCACACCAACAAGGAUUGUUGGGUGUUCAAGCAGGCAGGCAAGUUAAAUGCCGAAAAUACCGACAAGGGGGUGCAUAGCGAUGACGACGAAGAGCCCCGGCCACCGAACAACAGUGGACAGAAGGGUUUUCCCCCACAAGUGCGGACGGUGAACAUGAUAUACGCAACCCACAUCCCCAAGAGGGAGCGGAAGCGCGCGUUAAGGGACGUAUACGCGGUAGAGCCAGUCGCCCCAAAGUUCAACCCAUGGUCCUCCUGCCCGAUCACCUUUGAUCGAAGGGACCAUCCCACUAGCACCCGUCAUGGCAGAUUCGCCGCAUUGGUUCUAGACCCAAUUAUUGACGGAUUUCAUCUCACUAGAGUCCUUAUGGACGGCGGCAGUAGCCUGAACCUGCUUUACCAGGAUACAGUGCAGAAAAUGGGCAUAGAUCCCUCGAGGAUUAAGCCCACCAAAACGACCCUUAAAGGCGUAAUACCAGGUGUAGAGGCCAACUGUACAGGCUCAGUCACACUUGAAGUGGUCUUCGGAUAUCCGGAUAAUUUCCGAAGCGAGGAGUUAAUCUUCGACAUAGUCCCAUUCCGCAGUGGCUAUCAUGCACUACUCGGACGAACCGCAUUCGCCAAGUUCAAUGCGGUACCGCACUACACAUACCUUAAGCUCAAGAUGCCAGGCCCUCGAGGAGUAAUUACGGUCAAUGGAAACACCAAACUCUCCCUCCGAACGGAGGAGCACACGGAGGCCCUUGCAGCGGAAGUACAAAGCAGCCUCUCCAGGCAGUUCUCUAGUCCGGACAUUAAACGUCCGGACACCGUCAAGCGCGCCCGGAGUAACCUACAACAAGACCGCCUGGCACGUUCCGAGCAGGCGUAGCAAUGCGGCCCCAACCCUAGCCCUCGCAAAAAUGCGACACCAGUACUUUGCGUACAUAACUACGCUCUAGAAAUACCAUGGGUACAGGGGGAGGGGCACCAUCAUGGCACGCCCGAAACACGGCUUAAACCGCACCAGGGGCUGCCAAUUUUUUAAUUUUCUCUUACUUUCAGGACUCCACUCUUUGGAAGGCCUGUUCGGCAGUUCAAUUGCCGCACAAACGAUGCAAGAACCAGGGAAGCAGACAAGCCAUGCCGCAUUACAGAACUCCCAGGUGGUCUCUAUGAUGAGCAGUAUACCCGUUCCGCAUACCAUUCCGCAGCCUGCCCCUGGAACGGACAUGUUAAAAUAGUCCAACCUUUUGCUUAUCGCAUUAUUUGUAUCGUUCUGCUUUGAUCGCAGCCCUUUUUUAUAAACAAUGCAUAGCUUCUGUCUAUUUUUGCAUUACUCUUUUUUUUACAAAUAUAUGUUCCUUGACGACAUGUUGCACCCGUACACUUUGGUACAGCCAAAAUACGCCAGGGGCUUUAGUACCCCUCAAUAUGGUGUGAGAAAUCCAAACACUUUAACAAGUGCGGCACCCCGAACUUAUAGCAUUAUAUGCAUCGGCUCCGAAUCAUGUCUUGGGUCAAUAGUUGGGUUUGCCCAGCUCCUAUGUUUUGGUGCCUUACGUUCCGCUAUGUCGGCUAAGGUAGCACUAGGAGAACUACUGCGAUUAUGCCCCAGUUGAGCUGGGUCGAGCACCUCAGUAGAGAAAGCUAAAACUGACUGUCAUGAUGAAGCAAGAGCUAGUCGCUGUUCGAGAGGUUUUUCGAGUCCUUAAAGACUUAUGCCGCUUAGAGCGAGGAGUCGGCUCUGUCCGGCCAAGGCGUGGAUAGCGCCCCGGACUCGGUCUUCCGAAUACCAGGGGCUUCGCUGAAAUUUAAAAUUAUAGAAUUCUAUGGCUAAGUGAGAUUGCUCAAGCAUUAUAGUCCGAUUGCCUUGUUCGUUGUGCUGAGCGCCUCCCUCGAAGGACCCAAACAUGGGAAAAAGAGCGCUCAGGUUUAUCCCCGAACACCCCAGCACUAGCGGCACGGGGGCAGAAGCCGACGACUCGCCAUCUCUCAGAAUUGAUAAAUAGCCGCACAAAAGGUAAUAUUUUAAAUUCCAACAGCAUUGCUUAGCGCAUAUGAACAAGUUUUCAGCGCACAGGACAAAAUGAGCGAGUUUUACUCAAAAAUUACAUCCCUGGAACAUUCAUCCGCCAUAAGGCAGGCACCCUUCGGAACAUCCUUAUAAUAAUUCUCGGGCUUGCGAUGCUCUUUCCCCGGCGGUGGCCCGUCCUUCACAAGCUUCUCAACAUCCAGCUUGCCCCAGUGCACCUUAGCACGGGCAAGGGCCCUACGGGCACCUUCAAUGCAGACGGAGCGCUUGAUGACUUCGAGCCUUGGACAGGCCCCCACCAGCCGCUGCACCAGCCCGAAAUAGCUCCCAGGCAGAGCCUCUCCAGGCCACAGCCGAACUAUGAGGCCCUUCAUGGCCUGUUCAGCCGCCUUGUGGAGCUCGACCAGUUGCUUCAGCUGGUCGCUCAGGGGCAUGGGGUGUCCGGCCUCAGCAUACUGAGACCAGAACACCUUCUCUGUCGAGCUGCCCUCCUCGGCUUGAUAAAAGGCGGCAGCAUCGGACACGCUAUGGGGAAGAUCCGCGAAGGCUCCUGGAGAACUCCGGAUUCGGGUAAGUAACAAGUAACUCACGUUUACAUGUCUACUUUGCAUAAAGAAUGCCUUACCUGCCGCUAUCUUUUUCACCGCAUCCAACUCCUGGAGGGUCUUCUGGGAUUCGGCCUUGGCAGACUUGGCAUCUUUAAUAGCCACCGCAAGCUCGGACGCUCGCAUCUUUGAGUCAAGCUCCAAACUCUCAUGUUUUUUCAUGAGAACCUGGAGCUCUUGCCGCACAUUGCCAACCUCGUCCUCAUACUUCUCCCGCUCGAUGCGCUCCGUGGCCACCCUCUUCUCGGCCUCGACCAGCGCUUGCUUAAGGGUCGCCACCUCAGACGUGGCCCCUACAAUAGCCACGAUGAUCCUGUCAUUUUUUGCAAUUGCACUUUUUUAUAUAUAUUUAGAACAAGGUAUUUCUUACCUUCCUUCUCCUCGAGCUGCUUCUUGGCACGCCCGAGCUCUUGCUCGGACUGCUCGAGGUUCUGCUUUAGCGUAUCCACUUCCGCAGUCAGUACGGCAGACGCUAGCAGAGAAGCCUGCAUACGCAUAUUGACUCCUUUUUGUUAGACUCAGGGCUACUGUCUAUGCGGUAAUAUUAUUUACACAUUCUUUACUUACCUCAAAGGCUAGUACAAGCUUCAGUUAGUCCGCUCUUGGCGGACUGAACCUUCUGGACCACCGCACACAUAAUGGUGCGGUGCUCCACGUUGAUGGAGGCGCCUUUGAGCACCUCCAACAGAUUGUCCGGCGCCUCCGGUUGGACGAGGGUCACCGGCAUGGUGGGCUUGCUCCUCUUGGAAGGAGGUCGCCCGCCGGACUCGGGAACCUUUGAAGGUUCCGGAGCGGUGUCCGGCCUAGGGCCGGACUUGGAGCCCUGGGGGGUUUCAUCCCCCUUUACUCCUGGAGUCCGGGAGGUCGCCUUGCGGCGCCUCCAGCACCACCUCCUCCCGGCUUGGAACCUGUUGGGACAACACUUCGGUGUCGUCCGUAGGGCGGGGGGAGGAAGCCGUCGGAAGCAAAUUCACAUCCGACGAGUCCAGUGAACCGCUCGACGACGCGUCGAGCCGGUCUUUGGGUGGGCUGCAUAAACAUAUUCGACAUAAGGGAAAGCGGUGAAAUAAGGGAAUACUAUGAAUUACUCUGGUAUCCGGAUACUUACAAUUUAUCCGGGGGCUUGGCCCUGAGCGGCCACUCCUCUCCGUCAUCGUCGGCGUCGGUGGAGUAGUCCGGGGGAAGGGUUUUCCCCUUCUUGGACCCUUCGGCCUCCCUAGUUGGGGCAGCCUUCCUUUUCUUCCCUUCCCCCACUGGGCGGGGAGAGGUCUCUUCUUCCUCCUCCUCGUCUUCACGCGAGGAAUGCGCCUUGGAGUCGUCGGAUGAUGAACCCGACACCUCCUGGCGUCGGGCACUCUUUCGAGUCCCAGUGGCCUUCUUCGUGGACUUCUUCUCCGGCACCACAUGGAGUGCCGGAACCAGCAGCUUCGCCAAGCGGGCAUCGGCUGGGUCUUCGGGCAAAGGAGCCGGACAGUCGAUCUGUCCGGACUUCGCCUGCCAAACCUGUCAAAGGUAAGGGAGCUUAGAUCCCGCAUAGAGUUAAACUAUGUAAAAGGUACAAACAACUUACCGCGCUAGCGUGACGCUGCGCGCUGAAUCCGCGAUCCUCGGUAGCGGAUGCGGGAGCCUCGGCGCCCUUGAAAAGCACCUUGCAGGCAUCUUCGUACGUCGUGUCGAAGAGCCUGCUCAGAGUUUGGUGCUGCGCCGGGUUGAACUCCCACAGAUUGAAGGCCCGUUGUUGACACGGGAGGAUCAGGCGGAUGAGCAUAACCUGGACUACGUUGACAAGCUUGAGCUGCUUGUCCGCCAGGGUUUGGAUGCAUGUUUGCAAUCUAGUCACCUCUCCUUUGCUGUCCCACGACAGGCCCGUCUCCUUCCAGGACGUGAGCCGCGUUGGGGGUCCGGAUCGGAACACGGGGGCUGCGACCCACUCAGGGUCGCGUGGCUCGGUGAUGUAAAACCACCCCGAUUGCCACCCCUUCAGGGUCUCCACAUAGGAGCCCUCGAGCCAUAAGACGUUGGGCAUCUUGCCCACCAUAGCGCCUCCGCACUCCGCCUGGUUGCUGUGCACCACCUUCGGCUUGACGUUGAAAGUCUUAAGCCAUAGGCCAAAAUGGGGGCGAAUGCAGAGGAAAGCCUCGCACACGAUGAUAAACGCCGAGAUGUUGAGGAUGAAGUUCGGGGCCAGAUCAUGGAAAUCCAGGCCGUAGUAGAACAUGAGUCCCCGGACGAAUGGGUGGAUAGGAAAGCCCAGUCUGCGGAGGAAGUGGGGAAGGAACACUACCCUCUCAUGGGGCCUUGGGGUGGGGAGGAGCUGCCCCUCUUCGUGGAGCCGGUGCGCGAUGUCGUUAGACAAGUAUCCGGCCUUCCUCAGUUUUUUGAUGUGUCCCUCCGUGACGGAGGAGACCAUCCACUAGCCUCCUGCUCCGGACAUGGCUGGAAAACGUUGAGGUGGGGAGUGCGGACUUGGGCGCUGGAGCUCGAGUGCGCGAGAAUGGAUAGGCAAAGGAGGAAGAAGGCGUAGGUGAAAAGGUGGAUCCUUAUCCCCUUAUAUGGGUGGACGCAACUACGUAUCCCCACCAGCCUGGUAAAACUCGCUUAUCUCCAAGCGCCGUAAUCAAUGGCGCGGUUGGGUUACCCACGCCCGUAUUGAUGAGAACCCCGGAAUAAGGGGACACGAUCUCUGCUUUAACAAGACGUGCCAAGGAAACCACCUCGCAUGACGCGCUGAGGUGGGGUAAUAAAACGAUUCGGAUAAAAGCUUGGUCGUGGUGUGUCACACUAUGGAAUACGUCAGCAGAUUAGAUUUGUGUAAAUAUUAUUCUCUCUAUGGCAAUAUGUGGAAACUUAUUUUGCAGGGCCGGACACUAUCUUUGUGUUCAAAAUCUUCUAUGAAGUACUUGGAGGAGGAACCCGCCUUGCAAUGCCGAAGACAAACUGCCGCCGGACUAGUCGUCAUUGAAGCCUGGUUCAGGGGCUACUGAGGGAGUCCUGGAUUAGGGGGUGUCCGGAUGGCCGGACUAUACCUUCAACCGGACUCCUGGACUAUGAAGAUACAAGAUUGAAGACUUCGUCCCGUGUCCGGAAGGGACUUUCCUUGGCAUGGAAGGCAAGCUUGGCGAUACGAAUAUAUAGAUCUCCUACCAUUGUAACCGACUUUGUGUAACCCUAACCCUCUCCGGUGUCUAUAUAAACCGGAGGGUUUUAGUCCGUAGGACAACAUACAGAACAACAAUCAUACCAUAGGCUAGCUUCUAGGGUUUAGCCUCUCCGAUCUCGUGGUAGAUCUACUCUUGUACUACCCAUAUCAUCAAUAUUAAUCAACCAGGACGUAGGGUUUUACCUCCAUCAAGAGGGCCCGAACCUGGGUAAAACUUCGUGUCCCUUGCCUCCUGUUACUAUCCGGCCUAGACGCACAGUUCGGGACCCCCUACCCGAGAUCCGCCGGUUUUGACACCGACAACAAGAACUACCAAUCUAGUUGGCCAAACCAAACGGAUAAUUCAAAGAGACUUGCAAAGAUAACCAAUCAUACAUAAAAUAAUUCAGAGAAGAUUCAAAUAUUAUUAAUAGAUAGACUUGAUCAUAAACCCACAAUUCAUCGGUCUCAACAAACACACCGCAAAAAGAAGAUUACAUCGAAUAGAUCUCCACAAGAGAGGGGGAGAACUUUGUAUUGAGAUCCAAAAAGAGAGAAGAAGCCAUCUAGCUACUAACUAUGGACCCGAAGGUCUGAGGUAAACUACUCACACUUCAUCGGAGAGGCUAUGAUGAUGUAGAAGCCCUCCAUGAUGACGGCCCUCUCCGUCGGAGCUCCGGAACAGGCCCCAAGAUGGGAUCUCAUGGAUACAGAAAGUUGCGGCGGUGGAAUUAGGUUUUUGGCUCCUAUUCUGAUCGUUCGGGGGUACGUAGGUAUAUAUAGGAGGAAGGAGUACGUCGGUGGAGCUCUGAGGGGCCCACGAGGCAGGGAGCGCGCCCUAGGGGGGCCCCACCCUUGUGACCACCUCUCUGAUGCCUUGGCGUAGGGUCCAAGGCUCUUGGAUCACGUUCGGUGAGAAAAUCACGUUCCCGAAGGUUUCAUUCCGUUUGGACUCCAUUUGAUAUUCCGUUUCUUCGGAACACUGAAAUAGGCAAAAAAAUAGCAAUUCUGGGCUGGGCCUCCGGUUAAUAGGUUAGUCCCAAAAAUAAUAUAAAAGUGGAAAAUAAAGCCCAAUAUAGUCCAAAACAGUAUAUAAUAUAGCAUGGAGCAAUCAAAAAUUAUAUAUACGUUGGAGACGUAUCAGGCAUCCCCAAGCUUAAUUCCUGCUCGUCCUCGAGUAGGUAAAUGAUAAAAAGAGAUUUUUUGAUGCGGAGUGCUACUUGGCAUAAUUUUAAUGCAAAUCUUCUUAAUUGUGAUAUUAAUAUUCAGAUUUGAAAGAUUCAAGGCAAAAGUUUAUAUUGACAUAAAAAUUAUAAUACUUCAAGCAUACUAACAAAGCAAUUAUGUCUUCUCAAAAUAACAUGGCCAAAGAAAGUUAUCCCUACAAAAUCAUAUAGUCUGGCUAUGCUUUAUCUUCACCACACAAAGUAUUUAAAUCAUGCACCACCCCUAUGACAAGACAAGCAAUUGUUUCAUACUCUAACUUUUUCAAAACUUUUUUCAAUCUUCACGCAAUACAUGAGUGUGAGCCAUGGAUAUAGCACUAUAGGUGGAAUAGAAUGGUGGUUGUGGAGAAGACAAAAAAGGAGAAGAUAGCCUCACAUCAACUAGGCGUAUCAACGGGCUAUGGAUAUGCCCAUCAAUAGAUAUCAAUGUGAGUGAGUAGGGAUUGCCAUGCAACGGAUGCACUAGAGCUAUAAGUAUAUGAAAGCUCAAAAAGAAACUAAGUGGGUGUGCAUCCAACUUGCUUGCUCAUGAAGACCUAGGGUAAUUUGAGGAAGCCCAUCAUUGGAAUAUACAAGCCAAGUUCUAUAAUGAAAGAUUCCCACUAGUAUAUGAAAGUGAUAACAUGAGAGACUCUCUACUAUGAAGAUCAUGGUGCUACUUUGAAGCACAAGUGUGGUAAGAGGAUAGUAACAUUGUCCCUUCUCUCUUUUUCUCUCAGUUUUUUGGGCCUUUUCUCUUUUUUUAUAUGGCCUCUUUUUCUUUCUCUUUUUAUUUGGGUUUCUUUGGCCUCUUUUAUUUAUUUUUCGUCCGGAGGCUCAUCCCAACUUAUGGGGGAAUCAUAGUCUCCAUCAUCCUUUCCUCACUGGGACAAUGCUCUAAUAAUGAUGAUCAUCACACUUUUAUUUUUCUUACAACUCAACUAUUACAACUCGAUACUUAGAACAAAAUAUGACUCUAUAUGAAUGCCUUCGGCGGUGUACCGGGAUAUGCAAUAUGACAAUGAUGAAUGUGUCAUGAACAGAACGGUGGAAAGUUGCAUGGCAAUAUAUCUCAGAAUGGCUAUGGAAAUGCCAUAAUAGGUAGGUAUGGUGGCUGUUUUGAGGAAGGUAUAUGGUAGGUGUAUGAUACCGGUGAAAAGUGCGCGGUAUUAGAGAGGCUAGCAAAGGUGGAAGGGUGAGAGUGCGUAUAAACCAUGGACUCAACAUUAGUCAUAAAGAACUCAUAUACUUAUUGCAAAAAUCUGGAAGUUAUCAAAGCAAAGUAUUACGCGCAUGCUCCUAGGGGGAUAGAUUGGUAGGAAAAGACCAUCGCUCGUCCCCGACCGCCACUCAUAAGGAAGACAAUCAAUAAAUAAAUCAUGCUCCGACUUCAUCACAUAACGGUUCACCAUACGUGCAUGCUACGGUAUUCACAAACUUUAACACACGUAUUCUUUAAAUUCACAACUACUCAACUAGCAUGACUUUAAUAUUAUCACCUCCAUAUCUCAAAACAAUUAUCAUGCUUCAAUCUUUUCUUAGUAUUCAACACACUCAAAAGAAAGUUUCAGAAAUCUUGAAUACCAAGCAUAUUAUUAUUAAGCAAAUUACCAUGCUAUUAAGAGACUCUAAAAAUAAUUUAAGUGAAGCAUGAGAGCUCAAUAGUUUCUUUAAAACAAAUCCACCACCAUGCUCUAAAAGAUCUAAGUGAAGCACAUAGAGCAAAAUUAUAACGCUCAAAAGAUAUAAGUGAAGCACAUAGAGCAAAACUACAUAGCUCAAAAGAUAUAAGUGAAGCACAUAGAGUAUUCUAUCAAAUUUUAAUUCAUGUAUGGAUCUCUCAAAAGGUGUGUACAGCAAGGAUGAUUGUGGCAUACUAAGACACAAAGACACAAAUAAUACAAGACGCUCCAAGCAAAACACAUAUCAUGUUGGUGAAUAAAAAUAUAGCUCCAAGUAAAUUACCGAUGGAAGUGGACGAAAGAGGGGAUGCCUUCUAGGGCGUCCCCAAGCUUUGACUUUUUGGUGUCCUUGGAUUAUCUUGGGGGUGCCAUGGGUAUCCCCAAGCUUAGGCUCUUGCCACACCUUGUUCCAUAAUCCAUCAAAAGAAUUCACCCAAAACUUGAAAACUUCACAACACAAAACUUAAAGUAGAAAACUCGUGAGCUCCGUUAGCGAAAGAAAACAAAAGACCACUUCAAGGUACUGUAAUGAACUCAUUAUUUAUUUAUAUUGGUGUUAAACCUACUGUAUUCCAACUUCUCUAUGGAUUAUAAACUAUUUUACUAACCAUAGAUUCAUCAAAAUAAGCAAACAACACACGAAAAACAGAAUCUGUCAAAAACAGAACAGUCUGUGGUAAUCUGUAGCUAGUGCAAGAUCUGGAACCCCAAAAAUUCUAAAAUAAAUUGAUGGACGUGAGUAAUUUAUAUAUUAAUCAUAUUAAAAAAGAAUUAACUAAAUAUCACUCCUCAAAUAAAAAUGACAGCAGUUCUCGUGAGCGCUAAAGUUUCUGUUUUUUACAGCAAGUUCAACAAGACUUUCCCCAAGUCUUCCCAACGGUUCUACUUGGCACAAACACUAAUUAAACACAAAAAACACAACGAAAACAGAGGCUAAAUAAUUUAUUUAUUACUAAACAGGAGCAAAACGCAAGGAAUAAAAAUAAAAUUGGGUUGCCUCCCAACAAGCGCUAUCGUUUAACGCCCCUAGCUAGGCAUAAAAGCGAGGAUAGAUCUAGGUAUUGCCAUCUUUGGUAGGCAAUCCAUAAGUGGCUCUCAUGAUAGUUUCAUAUGGAAAUUUCAUUUUCUUUCUUGGAAAGUGUUCCAUGCCCUUUUUUAAUGGAAAUUGAAAUCUAAUAUUCCCUUCCUUCGUAUCAAUAAUCGCACCAACCGUGCUAAGGAAAGGUCUACCAAGAAUAAUAGGGCAAGAAGGAUUGCAAUCUAUAUCAAGAACAAUGAAAUCUAUGCGCACAUAAUUUCUAUUUGAAACAAUAAGAACAUCAUUAAUCCUUCCCAUAGGUUUCUUAAUAGUAGAAUCCGCAAGAUGCAAGUUUAGAGAGCAAUCAUCAAAAUUACGGAAAUCUAGCAAAUCACACAAAGUCUUGGGAAUAGUAGAGAUACUAGCAACCAAAUCACACAAAGCAUAAAACUCAUGAUCUUUAAUUUUAAUUUUAAUAGUUGGUUCCCACUCAUCAUAGAGUUUUCUAGGGAUAGAAACUUCCAAGUCAAGUUUUUCUUCAUAAGAUUGCAUCAAGGCAUCAACAAUAUGUUCGGUGAAGGCUUUAUGUUGACUAUAAGCAUGUGGAGAAUUUAGCACGGAUUGCAAUAAGGAAAUACAAUCAAUUAAAGAGCAACUUUCAUAAUUAAAUUCCUUGAAAUCCAAUAUAGUGGGUUUAGCAACAUCUAGAUUAAUAGUUGGUUCAUAUUGAGUUGAAAGUUGAGUUGAAAGUUUCUAUCCCUAGAAAAACUUCCAGGUUCUAAAACUUAAUAGUUGGUUCCCACUCAUCAUAAAGAUCUAAAUACUCCAAAUUUUUAGAACGCCUUCUAGGUAAAGGAAGAUCAUAUUAAGUUUCAUCAAGAUUCAUAUUGCAAAACAAAGAUUUAAUAGGAGACACAUCAAUAAGUUUUAGAUCUUCAUCUUGAUCUUCAUAGGAAUUCGGUUUAGCGGCCAUCUUAUUGACUAAGGUGGCUUGCAUAUCCGAAAUUCCAGCUGUCAUCUUUUCUAGACGAGCAAUUUGGGGUCCUAUACCAUCAAAUUCUUUAGACAUAUCAUCAAGCACUUUAUUCAUAUAACUCAUAAAACUUUUUUGUUCCUUAAGCUCGUUUCUAAAGAAAUUAUUAUGCUCAAAUUGCAAAACCAUAAACUUCCUAACGUUGGUUUCGAUCUCCUCUAACCUUUUAAGGUGAAGAUCACCAAAUCUCGGUUGAGCCAUCGCGACAAACAAGCAAUCUAACACAUGAGCAAAAAGGCAAGCGAGCAAAAGAGGCAAAUAGAGAGGGAGGAUAGAGAGAGAGAGGGGCGAAUAAAACGGCAAGGGUGAAGUGGGGGAGAGGAAAACGAGAGGCAAAUGGCAAAUAAUGUAAUGCGAGAGAUAGGGAUUGUGAUGGGUACUUGGUAUGUUGACUUUUUGGAUAGACUCCCCGGCAACGGCGCCAGAAAUCCUUCUUGCUACCUCUUGAGCUUGCGUUGGAUUUCCCCGAAGAGGAAGGGAUGAUGCAGCAGAGUAGCGUCAGUAUUUCCCUCAAUUUUUGAGAACCAAGGUAUCAAUCCAGUAGGAGGCCAUGCUCAAGUCCCUCGUACCUGCACAAAACGAUAGCUACUCGCAAACAACGCGAUUAGGGGUUGUCAAUCCCUUCACGGUCACUUACGAGAGUGAUCUCUGCCAUAGGUUUCACUAGUGGCUUCUCUCAAGAGCAUAAGUAUUCUACAGUGGGUGAACGAAUUACUGUUGAGCAAUUGACAGAAUUGAGCAUAGUUAUGAGAAUAUCUAGGCAUGAUCGUGUAUAUAGGCAUCACAUCCGUGACAAGUAGACUGAAACGAUUCUGCAUCUACUACUAUUACUCCACUCAUCGACCGCUAUCCAGCAUGCAUCUAGAGUAUUAAGUUAAAAACAGAGUAACGCCUUAAGCAAGAUGACAUGAUGUAGAGAGAUAAAUUCAUGCAAUAUGAAAUAAACCCCAUCUUGUUAUCCUCGAUGGCAACGAUACAAUACGUGCCUUGCUGCCCCUUCUGUCACUGGGAAAGGACACCGCAAGAUUGAACCCAAAGCUAAGCACUUCUCCCAUGGAAAGAACUACCAAUCUAGUUGGCCAAACCAAACGGAUAAUUCGAAGAGACUUGCAAAGAUAACCAAUCAUACAUAAAAUAAUUCAGAGAAGAUUCAAAUAUUAUUAAUAGAUAGACUUGAUCAUAAACCCACAAUUCAUCGGUCUCAACAAACACACCGCAAAAAGAAGAUUACAUCGAAUAGAUCUCCACAAGAGAGGGGGAGAACUUUGUAUUGAGAUCCAAAAAGAGAGAAGAAGACAUCUAGCUACUAACUAUGGACCCGAAGGUCUGAGGUAAACUACUCACACUUCAUCGGAGAGGCUAUGAUGAUGUAGAAGCCCUCCGUGAUGAUGGCCCUCUCCGGCGGAGCUCCGGAACAGGCCCCAAGAUGGGAUCUCGUGGAUACAAAAAGUUGCGGCGGUGGAAUUAGGUUUUUGGCUCCUGUUCUGAUCGUUUGGGGUAUGUAGGUAUAUAUAGGAGGAAGGAGUACGUCGGUGGAGCUCCGAGGGGCCCACGAGGCAGGGGGCGCGCCCUAGGGGGGUGCCCCCCACCCUUGUGACCGCAUCUCUGAUGCCUUGGCGUAGGGUCCAAGUCUCCUGGAUCACGUUCGGUGAGAAAAUCACGUUCCCGAAGGUUUCAUUCCGUUUGGACUCCGUUUGAUAUUCCGUUUCUUCGAAACACUGAAAUAGGCAAAAACAGCAAUUCCGGGCUGGGCCUCCGGUUAAUAGGUUAGUCCCAAAAAUAAUAUAAAAGUGGAAAAUAAAGCCUAAUAUAGUCCAAAACAGUAGAUAAUAUAGCAUGGAGCAAUCAAAAAUUAUAGAUACAUUGGAGACGUAUCACCAAGCCUGCUGCAGGAGCAACACCAGAUGUUAUGAACGUCUGGCAGAGCAAAGCUGAUGACUACUCGAUAGUUCAGUGUGCCAUGCUUUACGGCUUAGAACCGGGUCUUCAACGGCGUUUUGAACGUCAUGGACCAUAUGAGAUGUUCCAGGAGUUGAAGUUAAUAUUUCAAGCAAAUGCCCAGAUUGAGAGAUAUGAAGUCUCCAAUAAGUUCUAUAGCUGCAAGAUGGAGGAGAAUAGUUCUGUCAGUGAACAUAUACUCAAAAUGUCUGGGUAUCAUAAUCACUUGACUCAACUGAGAGUUAAUCUUCCUGUUGAUAGUGUCAUUGACAGAGUUCUUCAAUCACUGCCACCAAGCUACAAAAGCUUCAUGAUGAACUAUAAUAUGCAAGGGAUGAAUAAGACUAUUCCCGAGCUCUUCACGAUGCUAAAAGCCGCGGAGGUAGAAAUCAAGAAGGAGCAUCAAGGGUUGAUGGUUAAUAAGACCACCAGUUUCAAGAAAAAGGGCAAAGGGAAGAAGAAGGGGAACUUCAAGAAGAACAACAAACAACUUGCUGCUCAGGAGAAGAAACCCAAGUCUGGACCUAAGCCUGAGACUGAGUGCUUCUACUGCAAGCAGACUGGUCACUGGAAGCGGAACUGCCCCAGGUAUUUGGCAGAUAAGAAGGAUGGCAAAGUGAACAAAGGUAUAUGUGAUAUACAUGUUAUUGAUGUGUACCUUACUAAUGCUCGUAGUAGCACCUGGGUAUUUGAUACUGGUUCUGUUGCUAACAUUUGCAACUCAAAACAGGGGCUACAGAUUAAGCAAAUUGGCUAAGGACGAGGUGACGAUGCGCGUGGGAAAUGGUUCCAAAGUCGAUGUGAUCACGGUCGGCACGCUACCUCUACAUCGACCUUCGGGAUUAGUAUUAGACCUAAAUAAUUGUUAUUUGGUGCCAGCGUUGAGCAUGAACAUUUUAUCUGGAUCUUGUUUGAUGCGAGACGGAUAUUCAUUUAAAUCAGAGAAUAAUGGUUGUUCUAUUUAUAUGAGUAAUAUCUUUUAUGGUCAUGCACCCUUGAAGAGUGGUCUAUUUUUGCUAAGUCUCAAUAGUGGUGAUACACAUAUUCAUAAUAUUGAAGCCAAAAGAUGCAGAGUUGAUAAUGAUAGUGCAACUUAUUUGUGGCACAGCCAUUUAGGUCAUAUCGGAGUAAAGCGCAUGAAGAACCUCCAUACUGAUCGACUUUUGGAACAACUUGAUUAUGAAUCACUUGGUACUUGCGAACCAUGCCUCAUGGGCAAGAUGACUAAAACGUCGUUCUCCGGAACUAUGGAGAGAGCAACAGAUUUGUUGGAGAUCAUACAUACAGAUGUAUGUGGUCCAAUGAAUGUUGAGGCUCGUGACGGAUAUCGUUAUUUUCUCACCUUCACAGAUGAUUUAAGCAGAUAUGGAUAUAUCUACUUAAUGAAACAUAAGUCUGAAACAUUUGAAAAGUUCAAAGAAUUUCAGAGUGAAGUUGAAAAUCAUCGUAACAAGAAAAUAAAGUAUCUACGAUCUAAUCGUGGAGGAGAAUAUUUGAGUUAUGAGUUUGGUCUUCAUUUGAAACAAUGCGGAAUAGUUCCACAACUCAUGCCACCCGGAACACCACAGCGUAAUGGUGUGUCCGAACGUCGUAAUCGUACUUUACUAGAUAUGGUGCGAUCUAUGAUGUCUCUUACUGAUUUACCGCUAUCGUUUUGGGGAUAUGCUUUAGAGACGGCCGUAUUCACCUUAAAUAGGGCACCAUCGAAAUCCGUUGAGACGAUGCAUUAUGAACUAUGGUUUGGUAAGAAACCAAAGUUGUCGUUUCUGAAAGUUUGGGGUUGCGAUGCUUAUGUGAAAAAGCUUCAACCUGAUAAGCUCGAACCCAAAUCGGAGAAAUGUGUCUUCAUAGGGUACCCAAAGGAGACUGUUGGGUACACCUUCUAUCACAGAUCCGAAGGCAAGACUUUUGUUGCUAAAUUCGGAGUUUUUCUAGAGAAGGAGUUUCUCUCAAAAGAAGUGAGUGGGAGGAAAGUAGAACUUGAUGAGAUAAUUGUACCUGCUCCCUUAUUGGAAAGUGGUUCAUCAAAGAAAAUGGUUUCUGCGACACCUACACCAAUUAGUGAAGAAGUUAAUGAUGAUGAUCAUGAAACUUUAGAUCAAGUUGUUACUGAACCUCGUAGGUCAACUAGAGUAAGAUCCGCACCAGAGUGGUACGGUAAUCCUAUUCUGGAAAUUAUGUUACUAGACCAUGACGAACCUACGAACUAUGAAGAAGCGAUGGUGAGCCCAGAUUUCGCAAAAUGGCUUGAGGCCAUGAAAUCUGAGAUGGGAUCCAUGUAUGAGAACAAAGUGUGAACUUUGGUUGACUUCCCCGUUGAUCGGCAAGCAAUUGAAAAUUAAUGGAUCUUCAAGAAGAAGAUUGACGCUGACGGUAAUGUUAUUGUUUAUAAAGCUCGACUUGUUGCAAAAGGUUUUCGACAAGUUCAAGGGAUUGACUACGAUGAGACAUCCUCACCUGUAGCAAUGCUUAAGUCUGUCCAAAUCAUGUUAGCAAUUGCCGCAUUUUAUGAUUAUGAAAUUUGGCAAAUGGAUGUCAAAACUGCAUUCCUGAAUGGAUUUCUGGAAGAAGAGUUGUAUAUGAUGCAACCAGAAGGUUUUGUCGAUCCAAAGGGAGCUAACAAAGUGUGCAAGCUCCAACGAUCCAUUUAUGGACUGGUGCAAGCCUCUCGGAGUUGGAAUAAACGCUUUGAUACUGUUAUCAAAGCAUUUGGUUUUAUACAGACUUUGGGAGAAGCUUGUAUUUACAAGAAAGUGAGUGGGAGCUCUGUACCAUUUCUGAUAUUAUAUCUGGAUGAUAUAUUACUGAUUUGAAAUGAUAUAGAAUUUCUGGAUAGCAUAAAGGGAUACUUGAAUAAAAGUUUUUCUAUGAAAGACCUCGGUGAAGCUGCUUACAUAUUGGGCAUCAAGAUCUAUAGAGAUAGAUCAAGACGCUUAAUUGGACUUUCACAAAGCACAUACCUUGACAAAGUUUUGAAAAAGUUCAAAAUGGAUCAAGCAAAUAAAGGGUUCUUGCCUGUGUUACAAGGUGUGAAGUUGAGUAAGACUCAAUGCCCGACCACUACAGAAGAUAGAGAGAAGAUGAAAGAUGUUCCCUAUGCUUCAGCCAUAGGCUGUAUCAUGUAUGCAAUGUUGUGUACCAGACCUGAUGUGUGCCUUGCUAUAAGUCUAGCAGGGAGGUACCAAAGUAAUCCAGGAGUGGAUCACUGGACAACGGUCAAGAACAUACUGAAAUACCUGAAAAGGACUAAGGAUAUGUUUCCCGUUUAUGGAGGUGACAAAUAGCUCAUCGUAAAUGGUUACGUUGACGCAAGCUUUGACACUGAUCCGGACGAUUCUAAAUCGCAAACCGGAUACGUGUUUAUAUUAAAUAGUGGAGCUGUCAGUUGGUGCAGUUCUAAACAAAGAGUCAUGGCGGGAUCUACGUGUGAAGCGGAGUACAUAGCUGCUUCGGAAGCAGCAAAAGAAGGAGUCUGGAUGAAGGAGUUCAUAUCCGAUCUAGGUGUCAUACCUAGUGCAUGGGGUCUAAUGAAAAUCUUUUGUGACAAUACCGGUGCAAUUGCCUUGGCGAAGGAAUCCAGAUUUCACAAGAGAACCAAGCACAUCAAGAGACGCUUCAAUUCCAUCCGGGAUUUAGUCUAGGUGGGAGACAUAGAAAUUUGCAAGAUACAUGCGGAUCUGAAUGUUGCAGACCCAUUGACUAAGCCUCUUCCACGAGCAAAACAUGAUCAGCACCAAGGCUCCAUGGGUGUUAGAAUCAUUACUGUGUAAUCUAGAUUAUUGACUCUAGUGCAAGUGGGAGACUGAAGGAAAUAUGCCCUAGAGGCAAUAAUAAAGUUAUUGUUUAUUUCCUUAUUUCAUGAUAAAUGUUUAUUAUUCAUGCUAGAAUUGUAUUAAUCGGAAACAUAAUACAUGUGUGAAUACAUAGACAAACAGAGUGUCACUAGUAUGCCUCUACUUGACUAGCUCGUUGAUCAAAGAUGGUUAAGUUUCCUAACCAUCGACAUGAGUUGUCAUUUGAUUAACGGGAUCACAUCAUUAGGAGAAUGAUGUGAUUGACUUGACCCAUUCCGUUAGCUUAGCACUUGAUCGUUUAGUUUGUUGCUAUUGCUUUCUUCAUGACUUAUACAUGUUCCUGUGACUAUGAGAUUAUGCAACUCCCGUUUACCGGAGGAACACUUUGUGUGCUACUGAUAACCCACAAGUAUAGGGGAUCGCAACAGCUUUCGAGGGUAGAGUAUUCAACCCAAAUUUAUUGAUUCGACACAAGGGGAGCCAAAGAAUAUUCUCAAGUAUUAGCAGCUGGGUUGUCAAUUCAACCACACCUGGAAACUUAGUAUCUGAAGCAAAGUGUUUAGUAGCAAAGUAAUAUGAUAGUGGUGGUAGCGGCAACAAAAGUAAAGACAGCAAAAGUAAUGUUUAUGGUAUUUUGUAGUGAUUGUAACAGUAGCAACGGAAAAGUAAAUAAGCGUAAACCAGUAUAUGGAAAACUCGUAGGCACCGGAUUAGUGAUGGAUAAUUAUGCCGGAUGCGGUUCAUCAUGUAACAGUCAUAACAUAGGGCGACACAGAACUAGCUCCAGUUCAUCAAUGUAAUGUAGGCAUGUAUUCCGUAUAUAGUCAUACGUGCUUAUGGAAAAGAACUUGCAUGACAUCUUUUGUCCUACCCUCCCGUGGCAGCGGGGUCCUAUUGGAAACUAAGGGAUAUUAAGGCCUCCUUUUAAUAGAGAACCGAACAAAGCAUUAGCACAUAGUGAAUACAUGAACUCCUCAAACUAUGGUCAUCACCGGGAGUGGUCCCGAUUUUUGUCACUUCGGGGUUACCGGAUCAUAACACAUAGUAGGUGACUAUAGACUUGCAAGAUAGGAUCUAGAACUCUCAUAUAUUGAUGAAAACAUAAUAGGUUCAGAUCUGAAAUCAUGGCACUCGGGCCCUAGUGACAAGCAUUAAGCAUAGCAAAGUCAUAGCAACAUCAAUCUCAGAACAUAAUGGAUACUAGGGAUCAAACCCUAACAAAACUAACUCAAUUACAUGAUAAAUCUCAUCCAACCCAUCGCCGUCCAGCAAGCCUACGAUGCAAUUACUCACGCGCGAUGGUGAGCAUCAUGAAAUUAGUGAUGGAGGAUGGUUGAUGAUGACGACGGCGACGAGUCCCCCUCUCCGGAGCCCCGAACGGACUCCAGAUCAGCCCUCUCGAGAGGUUUUAGGGCUUGGCGGCGGCUCCGUAUCGUAAAACGCGAUGAUUUCUUCUCUCUGAUUUUUUUCUCUCUGAAAGCAAAUAUAUAGAGUUGGAGUUGGCGUCGAAGGGUCAACAGGGGGCCCAUGAGGUAGGGGGUGCGCCCUAGGGGGGCGCUCCCCCCACCCUCGUGGAAAGGGUGUGGGCCCCCUGGUCUUCAUAUUUGGCGAGGAUUUUUUAUUGCUUUUUCUAAGACCUCCCGUGGAGUUUCAGGUCAUUCCGAGAAUAUUUGUUUUCUGCACAUAAAACAACAUCAUGGUAAUUCUGCUGAAAACAGUGUUAGUCCGGGUUAGUUCCAUUCAAAUCAUACAAGAUAGAGUCCAAAACAAGGGCAAAAGUGUUUGGAAAAGUAGAUACGACGGAGACGUAUCAACUCCCCCAAGCUUAAACCCUUGCUUGUCCUCAAGCAAUUCAGUUGACAAACUGAAAGAAAGAAAGAAAAACUUUUACAAACCAAGUUUGCUCUUGUUGUUGUAACUAUGUCAAGCCAGCAUUCAAGUUUUCAGCAUAAAUCAUAACUAACCACAUUUGCAAUAAUUCUUAGGUCUCAUCAUUACUCAUAUCAAUAGCAUAAUCAACUAGCAAGUAAUAAUAAUAAAUCUCGAAUGACAACACUUUCUCAAAACUAUCAUAAUAUGAUAUAACAAGAUGGUAUCUCGCUAGCCCUUUCUGAGACCGCAAAACAUAAAUGCAGAGCACCUUUAAAGAUCAAGGACUGACUAGAAAUUGUAAUUCAUGGUAAAAGAGAUCCAAUCAUAGUCAUACCCAACAUAAAUUAAUAGUGAUGAAUGCAAAUGAUGGAUGUGCUCUCCAGCUAGUGCUUUUUAAUAAGAGGGUGAUGACUCAGCAUAAAAGUAAAUGGAUAGGCCCUUCGCUGAGGGAAGCAGGGAUUUGUAGAGGUGACAGAGCUCGGUUUUGAAAUAGAGGUAAAUUGUAUUUUGAGCGGUAUACUUUCAUUUUCAACGUAACAACUAAGAGAUGGCGAUAUCUUCCAUGCUAAGCACAUUAUAGGCGGUUCCCAAAUAGAAUGAUAAAGUUUAUACUCCCCCUCCACCAACAAGCAUCAAUCCAUGGCUUGCUCGAAACAACGAGUGCCUCCAACAUACAUCAGGUCCCAGGGGGAGUUUUGUUUGCAAUUAAUUUUGAUUUAGUUCGCAUAAAGCAUGGGACUAGGCAUCCCGAUCACCAGCCAUUUUCUCGUGAGUGAGGAGCGGAGUCCACUCCUCUUGAGAAUAACCCGCCUAACACGGAAGAUAAGGACAGCCUUUGUUGAUACAUGAGCUAUUCGAGCAUACAAAACAGAAUGUUUAUUUGAAGGUUUAGAGUUUGGCACAUACAAAUUUGCUUGGAACGGCAGGUAGAUACCGCAUAUAGGAAGGUAUGGUGGACUCAUCUGGAAUAACUUUGGGGUAUAAGGGAUUGGAUGCACAAGCAGUAUUCCCGCUUAGUACAGGUGAAGGCUAGCAAAAGACUGGGAAGCGACCAACUAGAGAGCGACAACAGCCAUGUACAUGCAUUAAAAUUAAUAAACAUUGGAUGCAAGCAUGAGUAGGAUAUAAUCCACCAUGAACAUAAAUAUCGUGAAGGCUGUGUUGAUUUUGUUUCAACUACAUGCGUGAACAUGUGCCAAGUCAAGUCACUUAAAUCAUUCAAAGGAGGAUACCACCCCAUCAUACCACAUCAUAAUCAUCUCAAUAGCAUGUUGGCAUACAAGGUAAAUCAUUAUAACUCAUAGCUAAUCAAGCAUGGCACAAGCAACUAUGAUCUCUAAUUGUCAUUGCAAACAUGUUUAUUCAUAAUAAGCUGAAUCAAGAACGAUGGACUCAUCAUAUUUACAAAAACGAAAGAGGUCGGGUUCAUACCAGCUUUUCUCAUCUCAGUCAGUCCAUCAUAUAUCAUCAUAAUUGCCUUUCACUUGCACGACCGAACGGCGUGAAUAAUAAUAAGAGUGCACGUGCAUUGGACUAAGCUGGAAUCUAUGAGCAUUAAAUAAAUAGGAGAAGACAAGGCAAUAUGGGCUCUUGGUUAAAUCAAUCAAUAAUGCAUAUAAGAGUCACUUCAACAAUUUAAUUAUGAUCUUCUCCUACUGACCCCCAAGAAAGGAAAAGAAAUAAAACUAUUUACACGGGAAAGCUCCCAACAAGCGAAAGAAGAACGGGAAAUAUUUUUGGGUUUUCUUUUUAAUUAUUACUACUACAGCAGACAAAUAAACUACUACUAUUUUUUUUUGGUUUUUCUUAAGGUUAAGCAAACACACAAGAAGAAAGCAGGAAAAAGAAAAUAAACUAGCAUGGAUAUUAUAGUGAAAAAGUAUGAACACUGACAUCUAGCAAUGAGUGUGUGUGAACAUAAAUGUAAUGUCGGUGAGAAAUACGUACUCCCCCAAACUUAGGCUUUUGGCCUAAGUUGGUCUAUGGCCACGGCUGGCCUGGCGGAUAUCCAUAAUAAUAGUUGUUGGGGUCGUACUGCGAUGAGGAGGAAUAGUUGGGAUCAUACUGAUGUGCAACGGUUAUUGCCUGCUGAGCUGCAACGUGGAGUCGGGCUGCCUCCACUCUCCUCUCGUACUCUUCUGCCUCCUCUCUGGUAAUAACAUAUCUUCCUUUUGUCUGUAAAUCAAGAAGGCAGGAGCAGGGAGAGUAAUACGGAAAACACGUCGUUUAUCAAAAAUUAAGCGAUAUAAGAGAGGUGAUUCAGGCCUCUCGACAAACUGGUGCGAAGCCAUAGAGUUAUAAUCUAAAUAUGCAGGAGGCAACUCCAUAUCACCCUCACGAAUGUCUAUUUCAAGAAAAUGAGCUAAGCAAGUUGCACAAAUUCCUCCAAAGAAAUCUCCAUUAUGUCUAUUAUGAUGCAACCUAUGAGCUACAAUGGCUCCCAUAUGAUAAGAUUGGUCUCCUAACACAGCACUCCUAAGAAUGCUGAGAUCAGGUACACACAUGUGACAUGCUUCAUCCUUAGCAUUUAUGCAUCUACCAAUGAAAAGAGCAAAAUAAUGUAUAGCAGGAAAGUGAAUGCUCCCUAUGGUAGCCUGCGUUAUAUCUCUGGAUUCCCCCACAGUUAUACUAGCAAGAAAGUUUCUAAAUUCAGAUUUAGGGGGAUCCCUAACACUGCCCCAUGAUGGAAGUUCGCAAGCAGAAGUGAAAUCCUCUAGGUCCAUGGUAUAAGAUUUGUCAUAAAUAUCAAACAUGACUGAAGGAGAAUUACGCGAAGAUGAAUACUCAAACCUCCUCACAAAUGAACUUGUGAGAUCAUGAUACUCGGGGCAUUUGUUAGCCUCAAAAUCUUCAAGACCGACAUUGCGCAAAUAUGAUUUGAAUUCUUCUUUCAUUCCCGCAUGGUCCAUAAAAUUUUCCGACGGCCAUUGGCAAGGCCGUACUGGAGCGUCUCUUGGUGGAUCCUCGUCAGCAUUGCGCAUAGCAAUUCUGGGUCCUUGCUUCUUAGAGGAACCACCUUGGAACAUCUUCCUAAACAUAUUGUUUUUCUAUGAAAAAUUCUGAAAUUUUUAGUAACUUCGAAAUAAAAGUGAACCAAACUCAAUUAAACUGAUAGCAACUACUCCUACAAGUGCCUAGAGCCUAUAUCAAGCAUUAGAACUACUAGGAACCAUAUAAAUUUGACAUGCAAGCUCAAGAAAAUGGUCACCUAUGCAGCACAAAUUUGCAAAGAAUAAAGUACUAGAACACAAACUAAUUGGACCAAUGGAGGAGUCACAUACCAAGGAACAAUCUCUCCAAGCAGUUUUGCGAGAGGUGCUUUGAGCAAGGAGAUCGAAAAUCGCAGCAAAAGUGGCUGGAACUCGUGCUUGAGUUGGUUUUUCGGGUUUGUGUGAGAUAGAGGAAGAAGAUGGGUGCUGGAAUAAGUGGAGGAGGGCCACCGUGGGUCCACGAGGCAGGGGGCGUGCCCUAUAGGGGGGGGGGCGCCCACCACCCUCGUCACUAGGUGGCAGCUCCUCCCGCGGUAAUUUUUGCACAGUAAAUCCUCAAAUAUUCCCAAAAAAAUCAUAUUAAAUUGGCAUGGCAUUCUGAGGAUUUUUAUUUUCGGGAUAUUUUUAUAUUGCACGGAUAAGUCAGGAAACAGACAGAAAAAUACUAUUUUUACUUUAUUUAAUAUAAAUAACAGAAAAUAUAAAGAGGGUACAGAAGUUUGUGCUUCUAGUUUCAUCCAUCUCAUUCUCAUCAAAAAGAAUCCACUAAUAAGGUUGAUCAAGUCUUGUUAACAAACCCAUUCCGAUAAUCAUGAAACCAGAGAAAUUUCAAAUGACACUAAGUUACCUCAAUGGGGAUAUGCACAUCCCCAAUAAUAAGAAUAUCAUAUUUCUUUUUGACAGUAGGAAGAGGAAAUUCAAAACCUCCAAAUAUAAUCGAUGGAAUUUUUCCAAUAGAGUUGAUACUAUGAACUUGAGGUUGUUUCCUCGGAAAGUGUACCGUAUGCUCAUUACCAUUAACAUGAAAAGUGACAUUGCCUUUGUUGCAAUCAAUAACAGCCCCUGUAGUAUUAAGAAAAGGUCUUCCAAGAAUAAUAGACAUACUAUCAUCCUCGGGAAUAUCAAGUAUAACAAAGUCCGUUAAAAUAGUAACGUUUGCAACCACAACAGGCACAUCCUCACAAAUACCGACAGGUAUAGCAGUUGAUUUAUCAGCCAUUUGCAAAGAUAUUUCAGUAGGUGUCAACUUAUUCAAGUCAAGUCUACGAUAUAAAGAGAGAGGCAUAACACUAACAUCGGCUCCAAGAUCACAUAAAGCAGUUUUAAUAUAAUUUCUUUUAAUGGAGCAAGGUAUAGUAGGUACUCCGGGGUCUCCAAGUUUCUUUGGUAUUCCACCCUUAAAAGUAUAAUUAGCAAGCAUGGUGGAAAUCUCAGCUUCCGGUAUCUUUUUUUAUUAGUAAUGAUAUCUUUCAUAUAUUUAGCAUAAGGAUUCCUUUUGAGCACAUUAGUUAAUCUCAUACGCAAAAGAUAGGCCUAAUCAUUUCAGCAAAGCGCUCAAAAUCCUCAUCAUCCUUUUUCUUGGAUGGUUUCGGAGGAAAAGGCAUGGGUUUCUGAACCCAAGGUUCCCUUUCUUUACCAUGUUUCCUAGCAACAAAGUCUCUUUUAUCAUAACGUUGAUUCUUUGAUUGUGGGUUAUCAAGAUCAACAACAGGUUCAAUUUCUACAUCAUUAUCAUUACUAGGUUGAGCAUCAUCAUGAACAUCAUCAUUAAUAUUUUUACUAGGUUCAUGUUCAUUACCAGAUUGUGUUUCAGCAUCAGACAUAGAAAUAUCAUUUGGAUUAGCAGGUGGUUCAGCAAUAGGUUCACUAGAAGUUUGCACAGUUCUAUCAUUUUUCUUCUUCUUUUUAGAAGAACUAGGAACAACAAUAUUAUUUCUUUGAGAAUCUUGAUCGAUUCUCUUAGGGUGGCCAUCAGGAUACAAAGGUUCCUGGGUCAUUCUACCAGUUCUAGUAGCCACUCUAACAGCAUAAUCAUUUUUCUUACUAUUCAUUUCAUUAAGCACUUCUUUUUGAGCUUUAAGUACUUGUUCUACUUGAGUGGUGACCAUAGAAGCAUGUUUGCUAAUAAGUUUAAGUUCACCUUUAAUAUCAGCCAUAUAAUCACCCAAGCAUCUAAUCAUAUAAGCAUUUUCUUUUAAUUGUCUACCAAAAUAAGCAUUGAAGUCAUCUUGCUUAUACAUAAAGUUAUCAAACUCAUCCAAGCACUGACUAGCAAUUUUAGUAGGAGGGACUUCAGCUUUAUCAUAUCUAUAGAGAGAAUUUACCUUUACUACAUGUGUCGGGAUAUCGGGAUCAGGAGGUUCUUCAGUAAAUAAAUGAUUGAGAUCAUAAGUUUCUUCAACAGGCGACGAAUUAAGACCAUGUAUUUCUUCAAUAGGAGGUAAAUUCUUAACGUCUUCAGCUUUAAUACCUUUUUCUUUCAUAGAUUUCUUUGCCUCUUGCAUAUCUUCGGGACUGAGAAAUAGAACACCUCUCUUCUUCGGAGUUGGUUUAGGAAUAGGCUCAGUAAUUGGAGCAGGAGUUGGAUCAGGAGGUGGCUCAGGAGGUGCCCAAUUAUUUUCAUUUGUCAACAUAUUAUUCAAUAGAAUUUCAGCAUCAUCCGGUGUUCUUUCCCUGAAAAGAGAACCAACACAACUAUCCAGGUAAUCUCUAGAAGCAUCGGUUAGUCCAUUAUAAAAGAUAUCAAGUAUUUCAGAUUUCUUAAGAGGAUGAUCAGGCAAAGCAUUAAGUAACUUGAGAAACCUCCCCCAAGCUUGUGGGAGACUCUCUUCUUUAAUUUGCACAAAGUUGUAUAUUUCCCUCAAAGCAGCUUGUUUCUUAUGAGCAGGGAAAUAUUUAGUAGAGAAGUAAUAAAUCAUAUCCUGGGGACUACGCACACAACCAGGAUCAAGAGAAUUAAACCAUAUCUUAGCAUCGCCCUUUAAUGAGAAUGGAAAUAUUUUGAGUAAAUAGAGGUAACAUGAUCUCUCAUUAUUAGUGAACAGGGCAGCUAUAUCAUUUAACUUAGUAAGAUGUGCCACAACAAUUUCAGAUACAUAGCCAUAAAACGGAUCAGAUUCAACCAAAGUAAUUAUAUCAGGAUCAACAGAGAAUUCAUAAACUUUAUCAGGAACACAUAUAGGUGAAGUAGCAAAAGCAGGAUCGGGUUUCAUUUUAUCUCUAAGUGAUUCUUUGUUCCAUUUAAUUAAAAACCUCUUAAGCUCAUAUCUAUCUCUGCAAGCUAAAAUAGCUAAAGAAGCAUCUUGAUCAAAUAAAUAACCCUCAGGAAUAACAGGCAUAUUUUCAUCAUCACUAUCAUCAUCGUAUUCAGAUUCAAUAAUUUCUUUUUCUCUAGCCCUAGCAAUUUGUUCUUCUAGAAAAUCACUAAGUGGCACAGUAGUAUCAGGCAUAGAAACAGUUUCAUCAUAAGUAUCAUGCAUAGUAGAAGUGGCAUCAUCAAUAACAUGAGACAUAUCAGAACGAAUAGCAGAAGCAGAUGUAGGUGUCACAAACUUACUCAUAACAGAAGGUGAAUCAAGUGCAGAGCUAGAUGGCAGUUCCUUACCUCCCCUCAUAGUUGAGGGAUAGAUCUUGGUUUUUGGAUCUCUCAAGUUCUUCAUAGUGUCCAGCAGAUAUAAAUCCCAAGUGACUCAAAGAAUAGAGCUAUGCUCCCCGGCAACGCCGCCAGAAAUGAGUCUUGAUAACCCACAAGUAUAGGGGAUCGCAACAGCUUUCGAGGGUAGAGUAUUCGACCCAAAUUUAUUGAUUCGACACAAGGGGAGCCAAAGAAUAUUCUCAAGUAUUAGUAGCUGAGUUGUCAAUUCAACCACACCUGGAAACUUACUAUCUGCAGCAAAGUGUUUAGUAGCAAAGUAAUAUGAUAGUGGUGGUAGCAGCAACAAAAGUAAAGACAGCAAAAGUAAAAUUUUUGGUAUUUUGUAGUGAUUGUAACAGUAGCAACGGAAAAGUAAAUAAGCGUAAACCAGUAUAUGGAAACCUCGUUGGCACCGGAUCAGUGAUGGAUAAUUAUGUCGGAUGCAGUUCAUCAUGUAACAGUCAUAACAUAGGGCGACACAGAACUAGCUCCAGUUCGUCAAUGUAAUGUAGGCAUGUAUUCCGUAUAUAGUCAUACGUGCUUAUGGAAAAGAACUUGCAUGACAUCUUUUGUCCUACCCUCCUGUGGCAGCGGGGUCCUAUUGGAAACUAAGGGAUAUUAAGGCAUCCUUUUAAUAGAGAACUGGAACAAAGCAUUAGCACAUAGUGAAUACAUGAACUCCUCAAACUAUGGUCAUCAUCGGGAGUGGUCCCGAUUAUUGUCACUUUGGGGUUGCCGGAUCAUAACACAUAGUAGGUGACUAUAGACUUGCAAGAUAGGAUCUAGAACUCUCAUAUGUUGAUGAAAAUAUAAUAGGUUCAGAUCUGAAAUCAUGGCACUCGGGCCCUAGUGACAAGCAUUAAGCAUAGCAAAGUCAUAGCAACAUCAAUCUCAGAACAUAAUGGAUACUAGGGAUCAAACCUAACAAAACUAACUCGACUACAUGAUAAAUUUCAUCCAACCCAUCACCGUCCAGCAAGCCUACGAUGCAAUUACUCACGCAUGGCGGUGAGCAUCAUGAAAUUGGUGAUGGAGGAUGGUUGAUGAUGACGACGGCGACGAAUCCCCCUCUGCGGAGCCUCGAACGGACUCCAGAUCAGCCCUCCCGAGAGGUUUUAGGGCUUGGUGGCGGCUCCGUAUCGUAAAACGCGAUGAUUUAUUCUCUCUGAUUUUUUCUCUCCGAAAGCAAAUAUAUAGAGUUGGAGUUGGCUACGGAGGGUCCACAGGGGGCCCACGAGGUAGGGGGCGCGCCGUAGGGGGGCCCACCCUCGUGGAAAGGGUGUGGGCCCCCUGGUCUUCAUAUUUGGCGAGGAUUUUUAUUUGUUUUUUCUAAGACCUCCCGUGGAGUUUCAGGUCAUUACGAGAAUAUUUGUUUUUUGCACAUAAAACAACAUCAUGGUAAUUCUGCUGAAAACAACGUCAGUCCGGAUUAGUUCCAUUCAAAUCAUACAAGAUAGAGUCCAAAACAAGGGCAAAAGUGUUUGGAAAAGUAGAUACGACGGAGACGUAUCAGCUACCAAACGUCACAACGUAACUGGGUGAUUAUAAAGGUGCUCUACAGGUGUCUCCAAAGGUACUUGUUGGGUUGGGGUAUUUCGAGAUUAGGAUUUGUCACUCCGAUUGUCGGAGAGGUAUCUCUGGGCCCACUCAGUAAUGCACAUCACUAUAAGCCUUGCAAGCAUUGCAACUAAUGAGCUAGUUGCGGGAUGAUGUAUUACGGAACGAGUAAGGAGACUUGCCGGUAACGUUAUUGAACUAGGUAUUGAGAUACCGACGAUCGAAUCUCGAGCAAGUAACAUACCGAUGACAAAGAGAACAACGUAUGUUGUUAUGCGGUAUGACCGAUAAAGAUCUUCGUAGAAUAUGUAGGAGCCAAUAUGGGCAUCCAGGUCCUGCUAUUGGUUAUUGAUCAGAGAGGUGUCUCGGUCAUGUCUACAUAGUUCUCGAACCCAUAGGGUCCGCACGCUUAACGUUCGUUGACGAUAUAGUACUAUAUGAGUUAUGUAUGUUGAUGACCGAAUGUUGUUCGGAGUCCGGGAUGAUAUCACAGACAUGAUGAGGAACUCCGGAAUGGUCCGAAGAUAAAGUUUGAUAUAUGGGAUAAUAGUGUUUGGUCACUGGAAGGGUUCCGGAAUUCACCGGAAAGGGUUCCGGAUGUUUCCCGAAAUGUUUGGGUGCAAGAACACUUUAUUUGGGCCAAUGGGGAAAGCCCACAAGGUUUUUGGAAAGCGCAAAAGGAAGCUUUGCGGAGUCCAGGGGCCAGACGCCAGGGUCCCUGGCGUCUGGGUCCAGACGCCGGGAACCCUGGCGUCUGGCCCUGGAGUCCGAGAAGGACUCUUGCUUUUCGGGUGAAACUGACUUUGUGGAGGCUUUUACUCCAAGUUUUGACCCCAAGGCUCAACAUAUAAAUAGAGGGGUAGGGCUAGCACCCAAGACACAUUAAGAAACACCAAGCCGUGUGCCGACAACCCCGUCCCCUCUAGUUUAUCCUCCGUCCUAGUUUUCGUAGUGCUUAGGCGAAGCUCUUCGGAGAUUGUUCUUCACCAACACCGUCACCACGCCGUCGUGCUGUCAGAACUCAUCUACUACUUCGCCCCUCUUGCUAGAUCGAGAAGGCGAGGACGUCACCGAGCCGAACGUCUGCAGAACUCUGAGGUGCCGGGCUUUCGGUACUUGGAUCGGUCGGAUCAUGAAGACGUACGACUACAUCAACCGCGUUGAUAUAACGCUUCCGCGAACGGUCUAUGAGGGUACGUAGACAACACUCUCCCCUCUCGUUGCUAUGCAUCACCAUGAUCUUGCGUGUGUGUAGGAAAUUUUUGAAAUUACUACGUUCCCCAACAGUGCUCUGUUCACCUAGACAAAGUCAAGGGUAAAUCUCAGGCUAUUUGACUGAGCCAGUGAAUUAACAUGGAUAUCUCUCAUUUUCAUACGACAUUCAUAAUCUUCAAUGUAACGAAGGCAAGCACAGGUGCAUUAAACGGUGGAGCGAGAUAAGUUGAAUCUGAGAUCUACAAAAAUACCUCUGCAGGCAGAACGGACGGGGCAGCAAGCGGUAGAAAUCGUCGUCAAGGAAGACGGAAGGG
rnacentral:lncRNA from 1 species